rnacentral:piRNA from 1 species
UGACCACAGGUUCCUGGAUCCUGGCUCUCU